rnacentral:miRNA from 1 species
AUAUAAUAACAACAUAGCAUCAACAGACGCCUAUGGCGGGUGUUGACGCGAUGUGAUUUCUACCCAGUGGUCUUGAAUGUCAAAGUGAAAAAAU